rnacentral:lncRNA from 10 species
CUGGAACACAAAUUGGUAAUUGGUUCAGAUUCAUGAGGAAAACACUCAGCUGUAUCUUCAUUAAAAGGCAUUUUACAUUUAUUAAGGCUUGAAAGCAAGUCCUGUUAUUCAUCACCAUAGUUAAAGGUCUCGAGAAAAUCAAGUAACUAUCAUUUGGAGUGUCUUUGUAAAAUGAAACACUUGUUCUUUUACAAAAGCUAAGCAUCUUUUGUUAAGCUAGUUAACUCCCCAGCUUAUAAAAUAGGACAACGAGGUGGCCAGGAAAGUAAGACAAAUUCAAACAUCAGCUGGAUAAUUUAUAUUUUAAAUAUAUGUAUAGUCAAUAUUGUGAAAUCUCUAACUCUACAUAAAAUACUUCAGAUGACUGGAUCCUUAAAAGUACAUUUUACCAAAAACAGAUUGCUUCUAUAGAAACACAGAAUAGCCCAAACCUUAUAUUGAGGCAACGUAUUUUAUUUAUUUUUGGUUGCAAGAAAGGAAUUGGAUCUAUUUCUUUAACGUUAAAUGAAAUUAUGCACACUUUGGAUCAUACAUAAUUAUGAAUCGAAAGUAUCCUGACACUAAGCUGGGAGAUGCAUACUGACAAAGGGGAAGAAUGUGUGUUGAUGAGGAGGGCACAUGUUGCUUGAUUUGAAUGAUAAAGAGAAAUGGAUAGAAGACAAUGGGGCUGUGUGCAGCAGGUCCUGUUCGCUUAAGUUUUCCUAACAUCAGAAUCAGGGUGCUUCACAUGCACAUGUCUUUCUCUGAUGCUUUCUUAAGAUUCUCCUUAAUGUCAUUUAAAAAAAUAAGAAAGUGAUCCCUUGGGAAUCAUUGUACUUAGUUUUAACCAUGAGUUAACAUUUCCUUUUUCCAAGGAGGAUGACACCAGCAUCUUGAUUCACCGUGCAGUUGAGAUGGCCCCUGGCCAGUGGGAAUUGAGGCGAGUCACAGAAGUACUUACCAAAUACUCACCUGCUGCUUCUAGUUUAAUUUAAUUUUAGACACACACUCUCACAGUGAUGCUAAACUCUUUACAAGAUAGACCCGCAGCUUCCUGCCUCUGCCUCUCUCUUAGUUCUAUUUGUCCAGGCCUUGCUGAUUUCUGGGACUCUCAUAUGGUCAAGAUCUAUUUCAGGCAUGACCUAUCUUAUGACAGUUCUAAGAUGCUUGGUAUUGUCUGUCUGUGGAGUGGCCAUGGGGCACAGAACUGUGAAGAGCUUCUGUUGUUUCAUUUGAUAAGGGCCUGGAAAGUCAGCCUGGGAAAACUCGCACUUGGUGUGGCCUUUUUCUGAUAAGAUCAAGACUUCACUGGCCCCACCAGCACAAGAAGGGAAUGCUGAGGACAGGGCCAUUUCCCAAGAUAAAACUAGUUUGGGAUCGUGUGGCCAAAUAAGCUGAUGGACUCUGUUUCCGACAUUUCAGCUCAUUUGCUUAGUGCUAGGUCACUCUACCUCUCGUUUAAAAGAAUAUAGCUAUGCUCACAUCUGUGACUCUGAAUUUAUCAAGCAUUUGACUUUCUUUAUCAGGAGAUGAAGAAACUGUGCUUUGGAUCCAUCAUGAUUUUACUUAUCCAGCUUACUUUUUACAGUUAUUAAAAUCUUACUCAAUACCUUCUCUCUGGGCCAAACUCAGAAGCAGGCAUUGCUGACUAGACAGUGAAUUCAACUCAGUCAUUCUGAGUUUGACUCUUGCUUCUGCCUUCGUCUCCCACUACCCUGCUUCCCCCACCCCCAAUAGUGCUGUGCAAGUCAAAGAAGAUAAAUAAAUACAAAAUAAAAUAAGAUCUCAACACAAAUACAUCCCCUUUCUGUGCCACCAAAAUGCUUUCUGAGCGAUUUGUAUUCAUUCAGGACCAAUGAAAAGGAAGCCUCCUACCCUAUAGCUGUAUAGUUGUGGGGUCCCAACUGCAGACCCUCCCGUGCUCCCUGAGUUGUUCUUGGGACACCUAAGGACCUCACCACACUGUUGCUGAGACAUGAUGUGCUGCACAUAUGAUAAGAAGGCCAGACAGGCUGAAGCAUCUGGAGAAAGAUCUCUUUUGAAACAAAAAAAAAAAGGAAGGACCACUUCAUCAUACCCACGCAGAGAGGCCAGCACAUAGCAGGAACUCUGCUUUAGAGGCUGGAUCCCAGCCAACCUGAGCUUGGACCCUGG